AUUGAACGCUGGCGGCAGGCCUAACACAUGCAAGUCGAGCGAGCGGCGGACGGGUGAGUAAUGUUUUGUGACUGCCCGAUAGAUGCGGAUACUUACUGGUAACUUUAUCCAAUACCGCAUACUAUCGGAUCACCCAUUUUGGAUUAGCUAGUAGGUGAGGUAAUGGCUCACCUAGUCGACGAUCCCUAGCUGGUCUGAGAGGAUGAUCAGCCACACUGGGACUGAGACACGGCCCAGACUCCUACGGAGGCAGCAGUGGGGAAUAUGGCCCAAUGGGCGCAAGACGGAUACAGCCAUGCCGCGUGUAUGAAGAAGGCCCUAGGGUUGUAAAGUACUUUCAGUCGGGAGGCGUUACCGACAGAAGAAGCAACGGCUAACUACGUGCCAGCCGCCGCGGUAAUAC
rnacentral:rRNA from 1 species